UGGUAGUGUAUUGGACUACCAUUGGUAGUGUAUUGGACAACCAUGGCGUUCACGGGUAACGGAGGAUUAGGGUUCGAUUCCGGAGAGGGAGCCUGAGAAACGGCUACCACAUCUAAGGAAGGCAGCAGGCGCGUAAAUUACCCAAUCCUGACUCAGGGAGGUAGUGACAAGAAAUAACGGACCGAAGCCUAUGUUUCGGGACUGCAAUGAGUAGAAUUUAAACCCCUUUACGAGGAUCAAUUGGAGGGCAAGUCUGGUGCCAGCAGCCGCGGUAAUUCCAGCUCCAAUAGCGUAUAUUAAAGUUGCUGCAGUUAAAAAGCUCGUAGUUGGAUUUCUGGAGGGGUGCCAAUGUCCGCUUGUUGCGUGUGCAGCGGCGCCCUUCCAUCCUUCUGUUAACGUUUCUGAUAUUCAUUUAUUGGUCUCGGGCUCAGAUAUUUUACCUUGAGAAAAUUAGAGUGUUCCAGGCAGGCUUGCGCCGGAAUACAUUAGCAUGGAAUAAUAGAAUAGGACUUUAGUCUCCUUUGUUGGUUUGAGGGACUGAAGUAAUGAUUAAUAGGGAUAGUUGGGGGCAUUAGUAUUUAAUUGUCAGAGGUGAAAUUCUCGGAUUUGUUAAAGACUAACUUAU
rnacentral:rRNA from 1 species